CGUCUAUAUACGUAUAGCAUAUCAAUAAGCGGAGGAAAAGAAACUAACAAGGAUUCCCUUAGUAACGGCGAGUGAAGCGGGAAGAGCUCAAAUUUGAAAUCUUCAAGGUUCUACCUUGACGAAUUGUAGUUUAAAGAAGUGUUUUCUGUUAGAUGAGUAGCAAAAGUUCCUUGGAAUGGGACAUCAUAGAGGGUGAGAAUCCCGUAUUUGGUUAUUCAUUCUAGCUUUGUGAUACACUUUCAAAGAGUCGGAUUGUUUGGGAAUGCAGUCCAAAAUGGGUGGUAAAUUUCAUCUAAAGCUAAAUAUUGGCGAGAGACCGAUAGCGAACAAGUACCGUGAGGGAAAGAUGAAAAGAACUUUGAAAAGAGAGUUAAACAGUACGUGAAAUUGUCAAAAGGGAAGCGUUUGACACCAGUGUUGUUUUUCCGAAAAUCAAUUACGAAUGUUUUGUUUUUAAGAAGUUAUGACUUCAUCGGCUUGCUUCUUUCUUUAUGAAACUUUCUUAAUGCACUUUUCGGUUAACAAGUCAACAUCAAUUUCUUUUGUUGUAAAAGGGUAUGAGGAAGGUGGCUUUCUUUUCGGAGAAAGUGUUUAUAGCCUUGUGCCUCUGCAAUCGGAGAGAUUGAGGUCUGCAGCGUAGAUCCUUCGGGGUUAGAUACAUUUGUGCUAAGUUAUAGCUUUUCAUAGACAACUUGUUGACUAUGUUUAGUCUUGUAGCUUACUCGCUUAUGCUAUUUUACCUACGCUUAGGAUGUUGACUGAUAUGUAGUCGUA
rnacentral:rRNA from 1 species